rnacentral:tRNA from 1 species
ACAAAAUGUAGCUUAACUAAAGCCCCUCGCUUACACCGAGCACAUGCCUGUUAGACUCAGGCCGUUUUGA